AUGUAUGAGAAACGGCAUGGCGGCCCGAGGUUCAAGCCUAUCGAGGAGUGCGCCACAGAAGGGCGGUCGCGGCAGACGGUCACGGCCGACCUCGACGGCACGCUGCUGCUGUCCCGGAGCGCGUUCCCCUACUACCUCCUCAUCGCGCUCGAGGCCGGCGGCACUGGUGGAAAAAGGGCCUUUGGUCGCGGUUCGCAACUGCCAUUAGUCGCGUGCGGCCUCCUGCGCGCGCUCGCCCUCCUCGCGUCCGUGCCGCUCGUGUACCUCACCUACAUCUCCGUGUCGGAGCCGCUGGCCGUGCGCACGUUCGUGUACAUCACCGUGGCGGGGCUGAGGGUGAGCGACAUCGAGGCGGUGGCGCGGUCGGUGCUCCCCAGGUUCUACGCUGGCGACGUGCACCCAGAGGGGUGGCGGGUGUUCCGCUCGUUCGGCAGGAGGUGCAUCGUCACCGCGAGCCCCCGGGUGAUGGUGGAGCCGUUCGCCCGGGCGUUCCUCGGUGCCGACAGGGUCAUCGGGACGGAGCUGGAGGUGGACGGGUCCGGGAGGGCGACGGGGUUCGUCGCGCAGCCCGGCGUGCUCGGAGUUCGGCGACGCGUCCCGGACGUCGGCAUGGGGGACAGGGAGAGUGACUUCGACUUCAUGUCCGUCUGCAAGGAAGGGUACAUCGUGACUCGGAGCAAGUACAGCCCGGUGCCAAAGAACCAGCUGGAGAGCCCUGUCAUCCUCCACGACGGUCGCCUCGUCCGGCGCCCGACCGACAUCAACGCGCUGCUCACCUUCCUGUGGUUGCCGAUCGGCUUCGCCCUGGCGCUCCUCCGCGUGCACGUCAAGCCGCUCCUCCCCAACCGCGUCGCCUUCUACGCCUGGAAGCUCAUGGGCGUCAAGCUCGCCGUGCGCGGCAACCCGCCGCCGCCGGCCACGAAGGGCCGAUCGGGCGUCCUCUUCGUGUGCAACCACCGCACCGCUCUCGACCCGACCAUGGUCUCCGUCGCGCUAGGCCGCGAGGUGACACGCGUCACACAUAACAGCGCCUCCAGCAUCGUGACGGACCACACCUCGCCGGUCAAGGCCGUCGCGCUGUCCGGGGAGCGCGACGGGGACGCGGCCCGCAUCCGGCGGCUGCUCGAGGAGGGCGACCUCGUCGUGUUCCCCGAGGGCACGGCCUGCCGCGAGCCAUACCUACUGCGAUUCGGCGCCCUCUUCGCGGAGCUCACGGACCGCAUCGUGCCCGUCGCCAUCGUCACCAAGGAGAGCAUGUUCCACGGCUCGACGGUCCGCGGGCUGAAGGCUACGGACCCCUACUUCUUCUUCAUGAACCCGCGCCCGACGUACGAGAUCACGUUCCUCGACCAGCUGCCACGGGAGCUCACCUGCGGCGGUGGCAAGUCGCCGGUCGAGGUGGCUGUUAGAGAAUAUGUUUCCAAGUUACUGGCCCGGGUGCUCGGAUUCGAGUGCACGAGCAUCACGCGCGAGGAGAAGUACGGGAUCGUCGGAGCCGCGUGCCGUCCAACGACGAUGGACUUGGAGAAGCCAACAACGUAA
rnacentral:rRNA from 1 species